AUUCUUGGUCAUUUUAGAGGAAGUAAAAGUCGUAACAAGGUUUCCGUAGGUGAACCUGCGGAAGGAUCAUUAUCGAAUGAAAUCAGAGUCGGUUGUCGCUGGCCUCUUCACUGGACCGUGUACAAGUCUCCUGAAUUCAUCCACACACACACCUGUGCAUUUGUGAGACGGAUUGAACCUCUCUCGGGGUACGGUCCGUCUAUUAUACAUAAACUCCAAUAAUAUAAAUUCGAAUGUCAUUGAUGUAACGCAUCUUUAAACUAAGUUUCAACAACGGAUCUCUUGGCUCUCGCAUCGAUGAAGAACGCAGCGAAAUGCGAUAAGUAAUGUGAAUUGCAGAAUUCAGUGAAUCAUCGAAUCUUUGAACGCACCUUGCGCUCCUUGGUAUUCCUCAGAGCAUGCCUGUUUGAGUAUCAUGAAAUUCUCAAAAUAAAUCUCUUGUUAACUCGAUUGAUUUUAUUUUGGACUUGGAGGUCUUGCAGAUUCACGUCUGCUCCUCUUAAAUUUAUUAGCUGGAUCUCUGAGAACUCGGUUCCACUCGGCGUGAUAAGUAUCAUUCGCUGAGGACACUGUAAAAAGUGGCCGGGCUCACUGUAAGAACCGCUUCCAAUGGUCCAUUGACUUGGACAAAUUUAAUUUAUGAUCUGAUCUCAAAUCAGGUAGGACUACCCGCUGAACUUAA
rnacentral:sRNA from 1 species